rnacentral:sRNA from 1 species
AUGGCUGUCGUCAGCUCGUGUCGUGAGAUGUUGGGUUAAGUCCCGCAACGAGCGCAACCCUCAUCUUUAGUUGCCAUCAGUUAGGCUGGGCACUCUAGAGAAACUGCCUGCGAUGAGCAGGAGGAAGGCGGGGAUGACGUCAAGUCCUCAUGGCCCUUAUGGACUGGGCUACACACGUGCUACAAUGGCGGUGACAGUGGGAAGCAAUAGGGCGACCUGGAGCAAAUCCCCAAAAGCCGUCCCAGUUCGGAUUGUACUCUGCAACUCGAGUGCAUGAAGUUGGAAUCGCUAGUAAUCGUGGAUCAGCAUGCCACGGUGAAUACGUUCCCGGGCCUUGUACACACCGCCCGUCACACCAUGGGAAUUGGUUCUACCCGAAUGCGGUGAGCUAACCUGCUUGCAGGAGGCAGCCGACCACGGUAGGGUCAGUGACUGGGGUGAAGUCGUAACAAGGUAGCCGUAGGGGAACCUGCGGCUGGAUCACCUCCUUUCUAAGGAAAAACAAAGGGUGGGCACUUAUUGUCUGCCGCUGCCCAGCGAAUUUCUUCCAAACAAACUUAAAUGGUAUACGGCAGCUACAGGCGCGUAGCUCAGUUGGUUAGAGCGCACGACUGAUAAUCGUGAGGUCGGCAGUUCAAAUCUGCCCGUGCCUACCAUCUGUUCGGCCGCCUUUGGCUGGCAAUCAUUUUGGUUUAGAAGGAAAUGCUUAUUUAUCUCGUUCGUACGGCAAUGGUCGUUCAACGAAAUACGCUGUUUGACAAAGUUAGUGAAGACAUCCAAGACCGCGGGAUUUAGCUGUGGUGAUUUCUGGUUUACCGGUAAAUCAUGCAACUAAUCCUGCAAGAAUAGCUUGCAGAUCGCAUGUGAGGGCCCUUGCCUUUACGUACGGUCUGAUCAAGCGUCUCUAAGGGCAUUUGGUGGAUGCCUUGGCGUUGAGAGGCGAUGAAGGACGUGACACGCUGCGAUAAGCCAUGGGGAGCUGCGAGUAAGCUUUGAUCCGUGGAUUUCCGAAUGGGGAAACCCGG